UUCAAACUUUGGUUCGCGAUUUCAAAUAUAUUACUUAGAAAAUAAUGUUUUGAGUCAGUUUCAGGACAUAUUUAAUAUAGUUUGAAUUUUCUUCCUAUAGUUAUAUACCUUGUUCAAAAAAUCGGCCGCGGAGGCGAUUACACGGCCGGUUAAACGUGAUGCGGGUGGGCUCCGUGGCGAAUUGAGUCACUUCGGUUGCAUUAGGCGGUGGGCCGUGGAAUUGACAUGGACGGCGUAGAAUUAUAAAACGCGUCCGCGUAAUGGUGAAGAAACUCCUCCUAUUCAAAUGGGUUGUCGAAAGGUUGAACCCUCGUUAGUCGUUACUCGUUACAGAUACAUGGUGGUUCUGUUGGUGUAGCGAGAACAAGUCAAAAGGUAUGCCAAGAUCAAAGCACACCAACUGUUCGAUGAAAUUCCUAAGAGAAGGUUCACAUGAUUGUAAACUGUAAAGAUUAUAGUGCUUUGAUGAUCAUGAGAUGCGGAGACGUGAGUGGUGUGUUACCACAAAAUCAAGGGAAGGUGUUUGGUUCCAAAGACAUUUUUUUUUUUGGUAAAAUAUAAAGACAUUGUUAUUAUGCUAAUGAAGCUGUUCUUUGAGAAUGGCAAAGUCAAUAUGGAACUAAACCUGAGGAAAUAUAUGAUGGAGAAAGGGUACUGCCCUCAUGGCCACGCAUUAGAACUUUUUACCAAUGCAUAGUGUGUUUGAAGAAAACACAAUGAUGCUCUUAAGUGUUCAACGCAGACAAUGGAGAGAGGAAGUUGCUUGAGCAAACCAGACUAUUGUUCAAGUUGUAUACAAAUAUUUGACUAAAUAUUGACAAUAUUGUAGUUUGCUCAUAUAUUUACAAAUACGUGAGUUUUAGUAUCAAGAAUGUUUUAUGCAUAAACAUGUAUUGUACAUAAAAAAUUGUAUUAUACGUAUAAAUAGAGUAUUAUACAUACAAAAAUACAAAAAAUUCCUCCCCGCGUA